ACGGGAGGCAGCAGUGGGGGAUAUUGCACAAUGGGGGAAACCCUGAUGCAGCGACGCCGCGUGAGUGAUGAAGUAUUUCGGUAUGUAAAGCUCUAUCAGCAGGGAAGAUAAUGACGGUACCUGACUAAGAAGCCCCGGCUAACUACGUGCCAGCAGCCGCGGUAAUACGUAGGGGGCAAGCGUUAUCCGGAUUUACUGGGUGUAAAGGGAGCGUAGACGGCAUGGCAAGUCUGAUGUGAAAACCCGGGGCUCAACCCCGGGACUGCAUUGGAAACUGUCAAGCUAGAGUGCAGGAGGGGUAAGUGGAAUUCCUAGUGUAGCGGUGAAAUGCGUAGAUAUUAGGAGGAACACCAGUGGCGAAGGCGGCUUACUGGACUGUAACUGACGUUGAGGCUCGAAAGCGUGGGGAGCAUACAGGAUUAGAUACCCUGGUA
rnacentral:rRNA from 1 species